UGCUCAUAACUUUGUGAUAAAUUACUAUUUUGGGCUGAGAUUCUCAACACUUAAUCUCAACCUAAAAGUGAAUUUGUUUUAGAAGGACUGAGU
rnacentral:pre_miRNA from 1 species